rnacentral:rRNA from 10 species
GGUGACAGCCAUACCCCGCUGAACACGCUAGAUCUAUAUUGAUCUAUUGAUUGGAAGCUAAGCAGUGUCGGGCCUGGUUUGGUACUUGGAUGGGAGACCGCCUGGGAAUGGCUCAUGAUGACCCCC